rnacentral:rRNA from 1 species
UACGUAGGGUGCGAGCGUUAAUCGGAAUUACUGGGCGUAAAGGGUGCGCAGGCGGCGUCGCAAGUCAGGCGUGAAAUCCCCGGGCUUAACCUGGGAACUGCACUUGAAACUACGAUGCUGGAGUAUGGCAGAGGGAGGUGGAAUUCCACGUGUAGCGGUGAAAUGCGUAGAGAUGUGGAGGAACACCGAUGGCGAAGGCAGCCUCCUGGACCAAUACUGACGCUGAGGAGCGAAAGCCAGGGGAGCAAACGGG